UACGUAGGGUGCGAGCGUUGCCCGGAUUUAUUGGGCGUAAAGGGCGCGUAGGCGGCCACGCACGUCCGUUGUGAAAUCGCUCGGCUCAACUGGGCGGGGUCAGCGGAUACGGAGUGGCUGGAGCAAGCUAGGGGGCAAUGGAAUUCCCGGUGUAGUGGUGGAAUGCGUAGAUAUUGGGAGGAACACCAGUGGCGAAGGCGGUUGCCUGGAGCUUUGCUGACGCUGAUGCGCGAAAGCUAGGGGAGCGAACGGG
rnacentral:rRNA from 1 species